rnacentral:tRNA from 1 species
GUGUCUGUAGCUCAACUGGAUGAGCACCACCCUACGAAGGUGACCGAUGUAGGUUCGACUCCUAUCAGACACGCCA